AACGAACGCUGGCGGCAGGCUUAACACAUGCAAGUCGAGCGCCCCGCAAGGGGAGCGGCCGACGGGUGAGUAACGCGUGGGAACGUACCUUUUGGUUCGGAACAACUCCGGGAAACUGGAGCUAAUACCGGAUAAGCCCUAACGGGGAAAGAUUUAUCGCCGAAAGAUCGGCCCGCGUCUGAUUAGCUAGUUGGUGAGGUAACGGCUCACCAAGGCGAUGAUCAGUAGCUGGUCUGAGAGGAUGAUCAGCCACACUGGGACUGAGACACGGCCCAGACUCCUACGGGAGGCAGCAGUGGGGAAUAUUGGACAAUGGGCGCAAGCCUGAUCCAGCCAUGCCGCGUGAGUGAUGAAGGCCUUAGGGUUGUAAAGCUCUUUUGUCCGGGAAGAUAAUGACUGUACCGGAAGAAUAAGCCCCGGCUAACUUCGUG
rnacentral:rRNA from 1 species